rnacentral:rRNA from 1 species
GCUCAGAUUGAACGCUGGCGGCAGGCCUAACACAUGCAAGUCGAACGGUAACAGGAAGCAGCUUGCUUCUUGCUGACGAGUGGCGGACGGGUGAGUAAUGUCUGGGAAACUGCCUGAUGGAGGGGGAUAACUACUGGAAACGGUAGCUAAUACCGCAUAACGUCGCAAGACCAAAGAGGGGGACCUUCGGGCCUCUUGCCAUCGGAUGUGCCCAGAUGGGAUUAGCUUGUGGUGGGGUAACGGCUCACCAGGCGACGAUCCCUAGCUGGUCUGAGAGGAUGACCAGCCACACUGGAACUGAGACACGGUCCAGACUCCUACGGGAGGCAGCAGUGGGGAAUAUUGCACAAUGGGCGCAAGCCUGAUGCAGCCAUGCCGCGUGUAUGAAGAAGGCCUUCGGGUUGUAAAGUACUUUCAGCGGGGAGGAAGGGAGUAAAGUUAAUACCUUUGCUCAUUGACGUUACCCGCAGAAGAAGCACCGGCUAACUCCGUGCCAGCAGCCGCGGUAAUACGGAGGGUGCAAGCGUUAAUCGGAAUUACUGGGCGUAAAGCGCACGCAGGCGGUUUGUUAAGUCAGAUGUGAAAUCCCCGGGCUCAACCUGGGAACUGCAUCUGAUACUGGCAAGCUUGAGUCUCGUAGAGGGGGGUAGAAUUCCAGGUGUAGCGGUGAAAUGCGUAGAGAUCUGGAGGAAUACCGGUGGCGAAGGCGGCCCCCUGACGAAGAC